UUUAGGAAGAGAGGUAACACACCGACUGUGUGAUCCGACCGCAAACUAUAAAGAAGGCGAUGCGCCUUGCAGGCUCAGAAAGUUGACUAACCAGGGGCAUGCUCCAUGCCCUCCUUUAGGAAAGGGAGAGUGUGGUUGGCAGAACCAAAAAUACGAAAAAUCCAUUCAAGAAUUUCCUGAUGGCCUACCGUGCGGACGUACGAAGCAAGUUAGACGCUGAGAAGUAAAGGAAAGAGACAGAGUUCACCGACAGACUGAUAAUGAUCUACCAGCUCCAGGAGGGGGCCCCAAACUUGGGGAGCUUCUGACUCCUCUGUGGAUUUGGGGAGGAGGUGCCGAGCGGACUCUGGUCCUCCUGCAGCAGCCCUUCCAGCAUGCUUGGGGCAGCUAAGGCUCAGGCCUGGCGUUCCGCAACAGAAACUCCCUUCCACAUGGUUGCCGGAGAGCGACCCGCCAAGCAGCCCUGAGGCCAUGCGGUUGGGGGCCGCGGAGUGCUUAAACCCGGUGCACGUUCAAGACACGAAACUAGAGCAGAGGAGGCCAGGAGCUGGGUGAGGGGUGAAGUUACUCACAUAGAAGAAGGAGAUGGGACCAGCGUGGAAGCUAAUUACAAUCCCUAAGAUACAAGUCAGCUGGGACAGCAUGAUGUGCAGAGCGACAGCAGCUAGGACGUUGAUCAUCAGAGCACUCACAAGGAAGAAGGGACCUACGGGAGAAGAUAUUAGACAGAAGACUUUCUUAUUUGCAAGUGGCCAUAGAAGGAUCUGGGAAGUAAGAAAGAGCAGGGAAGAGGAUAAUGACUCCACAUACUGUCACCAACUCAUAGGAUUUAGAUGCUGGUGGUCCAGGU